GAUGAACGCUGGCGGCGUGCCUAAUACAUGCAAGUCGAGCGAACGGACGAGAAGCUUGCUUCUCUGAUGUUAGCGGCGGACGGGUGAGUAAGACGUGGAUAACCUACCUAUAAUACUUGGAUAACUUCGGGAAACCGGAGCUAAUACUGGAUAAUAUUUUGAACCGCAUGGUUCAAAAGUGAAUGACGGUCUUGCUGUCACUUAUAGAUGGAUCCGCGCUGCAUUAGCUAGUUGGUAAGGUAACGGCUUACCAAGGCAACGAUGCAUAGCCGACCUGAGAGGGUGAUCGGCCACACUGGAACUGAGACACGGUCCAGACUCCUACGGGAGGCAGCAGUAGGGAAUCUUGCGCAAUGGGCGAAAGCCUGACGGAGCAACGCCGCGUGAGUGAAGAAGGUCUUCGGAUCGUAAAACUCUGUUAUUAGGGAAGAACAUAUGUGUAAGUAACUGUGCCCAUCUUGACGGUACCUAAUCAGAAAGCCACGGCUAACUACGUG
rnacentral:rRNA from 1 species